rnacentral:rRNA from 1 species
UACGUAGGGUGCAAGCGUUGUCCGGAAUUAUUGGGCGUAAAGAGCUUGUAGGCGGUUUGUCGCGUCUGCUGUGAAAUUUCGGGGCUCAACCCCGAACUUGCAGUGGGUACGGGCAGACUAGAGUGUGGUAGGGGGAGACUGGAAUUCCUGGUGUAGCGGUGAAAUGCGCAGAUAUCAGGAGGAACACCGAUGGCGAAGGCAGGUCUCUGGGCCAUAACUGACGCUGAGAAGCGAAAGCAUGGGGGAGCGAACAGG